UGCGUAGGCGGGUCUUUAAGUCAGGGGUGAAAUCCCAGAGCUCAACUCUGGAACUGCCUUUGAUACUGGGUAUCUUGAGUAUGGAAGAGGUAAGUGGAAUUCCGAGUGUAGAGGUGAAAUUCGUAGAUAUUCGGAGGAACACCAGUGGCGAAGGCGGCUUACUGGUCCAUUACUGACGCUGAGGUGCGAAAGCGGUGGGGAGACAAACA
rnacentral:rRNA from 1 species